rnacentral:rRNA from 1 species
GAUGAACGCUGGCGGCGUGCUUAACACAUGCAAGUCGAACGAUGAAGCCCAGCUUGCUGGGUGGAUUAGUGGCGAACGGGUGAGUAACACGUGAGUAACCUGCCCUUGACUCUGGGAUAAGCCUGGGAAACUGGGUCUAAUACUGGAUAUGACUUCUCAUCGCAUGGUGGGGGGUGGAAAGAUUUAUUGGUCUUGGAUGGACUCGCGGCCUAUCAGCUUGUUGGUGAGGUAAUGGCUCACCAAGGCGACGACGGGUAGCCGGCCUGAGAGGGUGACCGGCCACACUGGGACUGAGACACGGCCCAGACUCCUACGGGAGGCAGCAGUGGGGAAUAUUGCACAAUGGGCGCAAGCCUGAUGCAGCGACGCCGCGUGGGGGAUGACGGCCUUCGGGUUGUAACCCUCUUUCAGUAGGGAAGAAGCGAGAGUGACGGUACCUGCAGAAGAAGCGCCGGCUAACUACGUG